rnacentral:rRNA from 1 species
GACAGAGGGUGCUAGCGUUAUUCGGAUUUAUUGGGCGUAAAGCGCGUGUAGGCGGUUUUUUAGGUUUGUUGUGAAAUUCUAGAGCUCAACUCUAGCGCUAUAACAAAUACUGGAAAACUAGAGAAUGGGAGAGGUAAACGGAAUUCCUAGUGUAGAGGUAGAAUUCGUAGAUAUUAGGAGGAACACCGGAGGCGAAAGCGGUUUACUGGAACAUUUCUGACGCUGAAAUGCGAAAGCGUGGGUAGCAAACAGG